CGCCACCUCAACGUGGCCUGACCAGUGGUGCCAUGUCCGCGCUCAGGAUCGGAACCCUGGGCUGCCCCAGCGGAGCUCGAGAACUUAACCACUCGGCCACGGAGUCGGCCCCCUUACUUUGAAUUUGAUGAAUGGUUGCCUCUCUAAUUUAGGCCUGGAUGGAUUUUAAGAUAUUAUCAGUUGACAUUGUCAGCCUGCCACUCUCCCGCACUGGUUCUCCACUUACAGGAUAUCAGGCUUCCUCUCAUUUUGCUACGGCAUAUCUUCAAAGAGCUUCUUAAUACAACUUCAUAGCAGGAUACAACAAGAAGAUGGCAGUCUGUGACCUGGAAGAGGGCCCCCUCUAGAGCCUGACCAUGCUGACAUCCUGAUCUUGGACUUCCAGCUUCCAGAACUAGAAUUCAAACCAAAGGACCUGAAAGGAAGAUGGCAGAGAGGGAUUCUGCUUUAUAUCUAACGGCCAAGGAAGACCUCUCUAAAGAGAUGACCUCUGUGUUGAGACCUGAAGGACAAGCCAGUUGCAUGAAGAGUUGGGGCAAUGUGCAGUUUCCAGGUGAUGCUGAGGCUGCUGAUUUGGGGACCUCACUUUGAGAAUGAUGGGCAGUGGCAAAGUACACCAACUCUCGUGCGAGACUGGCUGAGUUCACGUCCCAACUAUACCUCCUCACUACAUAUAUGAUCUGGGAUCUGUCCUUACAUUCAUUGCCUGCUGAGACAACCCACAGGGCUUGAUGAGGCAAAAGGAAAAAUAAACCCUUAAGGCUCAGAUGAAAACGACUACAACUCAAAUCCUGAAAGAGGCUUCUAAGUCAGAGUAAUGAGGAGCAUGGGCAGUGAGGAGCAAAGCUCAUACUGCGAUGGGGGGCUGUAGCUGCUGGACAGAGAACAAGGACAGUUUGCCCCCUUCUGUGCCUUGGGCCAUUACCACUAUGGCCCCCUCCUUUUCACACAGAUUCCCUCUCUUCUUGUUUCUUCCCAUUCCUCCUGUGUCCCAUGGCCCCAUGUUCUUUGUCCCCUAGAGUCUGCAAAAAGGAGAAAGAGCCCCUAUUUCCUCAAACCAUCAAGGGCAAGGAUCUUAUCUGACUUAGGAAUAAAAGGACAAAUCCAUGAAUAAACAAAAUUGUUGCAUAGAGGGAAGUAUUAUGUUGAUGGGCCUCAAUGUAAAUCAUCAAGAAGGAUUGUUUUUCAUCUCUUGUCUAGAGGGGAACAAGGAAGAUGUCCAUUGGUUGCUGUUGUCUGCCCAUCAAAGGCUUGAGCCAGGACAGAGUCUAGAAAUGAGGAGGCAUUCUAAACAAUGAAUAGCACCACAGAGCUCUACAUGUCGAAAACAAUAGCUAACCUUUCUCGCUGCUUCAGGAUUUUGCUGCUGAUAAUUUCAGAUGACAUCUCUGUUUCUCUUCUUUUGUUCCUUUCCACAUUCUUCACCACACCAUUCAUGCUGACAGUCCAUUCAUGUUGCUAAUAGUUCUAUGCAAAAUGCAACCAUUAGCAAGGAAGGGCUUUGCUACCGGAUGAAGAGACAGUAUAAUGUAGUAUAAGAGUGUGGACAAGUGCUGUCCGAUGGAAAUAGAUGGCAAGCCGUGAAUGUCAUUGAAAAUUUUCUCAUGGCUAUAUUGAAAAAGAAAAGAAAUAGAUGAAACUAAUUUUAAUCAUCUCUUAUUGAACCCUGUGUAUCCAAAAUAUCAUUUCAACAUGUAAUUGAUAAAAAACUUGUUAAUGACAUAUUUUAUAUGUUUCAUACUAAGUUGUCAAAAUCUAGUGUGCAUUUUAUACUUAUAGUAUGUCUCAGUUCUGACUGGCCACAUUUCAUUGGCUUAACAGCGACAUGGGCUGGUGGGCACUGGCAGUGCAGAUAUGGGCUCUAUAGCCAGAGUACCUAAGGGUGUAAUUCUGGGAAAGUUACAUAAUCUCUGUGCUUCAGCGUCCUCAUCUAUUAACUGGGGAAAUGGUAGUCCCUACCUCGUUUAGAAUUGUUAUGAGGAUUAAAUGAGCACUUAGAACAUUGUCUGACACAGACCUGGCACUCAGUAAAUGUUAGCUCUUAUCCUCAGAUAUACAUUUAACCACAUCCUUAUAAUGAUCAAAGCAAUCUUUCAGUAAGGUCCUACUCUAGGCUUUCUAAGUAGGGACUGUAUGUCUGAGAUCUUGCAAUGAUGAAAAUCACAUGCCACUUCACAAUUCCUCUGUCACUUCAAACAAAGGCUAUCCGGAGAGUUUGAUCUGAAGAUGUGCUUUUACAAAGCUGGGUAACCUGUAACUUGACAAACUUCUUUAUACUAUUAAGUCUGCAAAUAGUUUAUCACUGAAUUUUCCAGAUAAGCAGUAUUAUAUUUUUAUUGGGGUAUAAAAUUAGGUUCACAGCUAUAAAAUUAUCCCAGCUUGCUUUUUCAUGCUCUCUUACGAGAAGUGAAACCACGCUUCACUACAGUAAGAAGAUAGCACUCGUCCUCCUGAGACUAUGGCUUACAGCCACAAAUCCAUAUUAAUAUCACAGGAUAUAUUUGGGGGCUUGAGCAGCAUGAUACAUAAAUUAUUACCUGGGCACUUGUAUGACAGCAUUUGAAUAAACAACAGAGUAAUUCUACCACAGUUGUCUUGGGUCACUUAAAAAAUAUAUUUUAGAAUUUUCCAGAUCUCUAAUUCUUUCAUUUAUUUAUAUAUUCACUCAUUUAUUCAUUCAACUAUCUGUUUAGUCAACAACUAUGUAUUGUGGGC
ensembl:lncRNA